UACAAUGAAAGUGGCCAAAUUGAUUUUCAAUUUGGCCAAAACUCAAAUGAAUUGGUCAAAUCCCCAAUUCCCAUAACCUAACUAAAACCCAAACCAGCCAGUUCCAAGCCCAAGAUUGGCCCAAUUCCUUUACCUAUUCAUCAGGCCUAACAUCAGCAACCCAUGCCAUACCCAAGACCAGCCCAUCAAAACCCAUACCCCUAAAUCCAUUAGCAGCUUACUCUCUCUUUUAAUAGCCUCAAAGCUAUCAGCCCCCAAAUUGGCCCAACAUCAUAGCACAACCUGGCCCAAGACUUAUCUACUCCUAUUUCUUCUUCAAUAACACGGCAAUAACAUCCAAAACCAACAAAACGUGACUCGCGUAAAUAGUAGUAAACAAUGUCAUCUCUAACCUAGAACCUCGACAAACCCGAUUCAGUGAAUCCACCAUCAACCCAACCCGAAAUCGAUCAUAAACUGUGCUUUUUCCCUCUUUCACGCGUCUCACGCGACACAAGGACGAACCUCGACCCAUCUAGAAAAUAAGCCAGGUGUCGUCCCCCAAUGUCUAUAUCCCAUAAAUCUCGGAUUAAUUGGUAUGAAUUUGUACAUAUUUAGUAGAAUUUCAUUGGUCCUGAAGAAUAAUUUGUUUUCCCCAAUUUUUAUUGGUCCACCGAUUUCGGAUUUGUUGAAGAAAUCCAAAAAGAGCGACGUUAUUCUCUGAUGGUGAUCGAGAUUCCAUCAAAAGCUCGAGUCUCGUUUUGUGGCCCUGAAGCAGGUAACUCAUCGUUCCGUUUAGUUCUGUUUAAUUUCUGCCUGAUCUCACCAUUACGUAAAGUUUGCGAUAAUUUUCUGGGCUGGAAAUUACUUGCUAUAGAAAGCCUUAUAGGCCAUAGGACCUUGUAUGAAAUAAUUUGCAGUGGUUUCAUCUGUUUCGUUUGAUUGCCGUUCGUGAUUCAUGUUCGAAUGAGAUGAUUAGUGUAUGAUGAAAACUGUCUUAUGAAAUUUCUUGUUCUAAUCAACACUAUUAGGUAUUGUGUAAAACAGUUGUGUAUGUGCUCUAUAUUUCGGGAGACAAAUAUUUGCAUAUUAUGUUGUCGCCACAACUGAUGGUUUAUGUAUCAUGUGUACUUGAGAUUAUUCAUUUAUGGAAUGUUUGUUAUAGGAGUUUCAUGUUUAUACACCGUAUACUCUACAAGAUGUGCUUAUCCGAAUGUUUCAAUUUGAGUAAAAGUGCAGUGACCCUCUUCUGGUAAAAGGAUAGGUCCAUAAAAUUAGAAGCUGGACAAGAUGAUGGGUUCAAAUGAUUUUGUAUCUUCUUUGGGAUUUGUUCUUAGGAGCCUCAUUUGUUACACUUCUUUAUAAAAGUUAAAUAAAAGAAGUAUUUUCUAUUUGUAGUGUGUAUUCCCUUACUUUACCUAUUUCAAUAUAAGUUUAACACGUACACUUGUAGUUCUUAGUUGAAAAUUGAUUCUAAAACUAGUUUUCCCUAAGACAUUACUAACUCGUAUUAUCUUGUAUACCACCUGUAUGAAACUUUUAGUAUCCUAUUCACUUGUCUGUUAAAUACACCUCUUCUUACAUCAUUCUUACUGUUGUUGGGUAAGAAAGCGUUUUUAGUUGCAUUUCUCCUUCCCCCCUUUCCGAUUCAUUUCAGUACCUAAGGUUAAGAGUUUUGCAUCCGUUUAAACACAAAAUCAUGUUCACAUUUUAUUUAAAGUCAUCCUCUUUUCCGUGUUAUCGUUUGCUAGAAAAAUUCAAUAGGGUAAAAGUUGUUUGUGGGCUAUAUGUGUGGUGACAUGCCUAAUUAAUAUGAUUACUCAAUGGGAACGCGUUGUUAUUUCAUCUUUUAAAAGUAGAUAUAGUAAUGUGGGAGAAGUUCUGUUUUAGUUGUUUCCUGAUUCCUUCCAACACUUUGUUGCUACCUUGAGUUUUAGUAAUAGAAUAAAUAAUCAACCUCUGCACAUCGAUUUUUUUAAAAAAAUUGCUUCUGUUUUCAAUCACUAUGUAUGUGUGAAGUCGAUUCAUUUCUCUUGAAAUUUUAUAUUUUGGACGACCAAGAAUUCCUUUCCAUCUAUUGAUCUAUCAUACUAUUUAUUUGUGUGUCGUUUGGUACUAUGAACGCGUAUUAAUCUCCUUUAUCUCUUUCCUUGCAUGUGAAUCUGCUUGGAGUCCGGAUGGACUCUUUCCCCUUGCAUCUAUUAAUGGGUCACCGAGGCCCACCAUGUCUAUCGAGUCAGGACCAAAUAAAAUCCCAAAGUCGAGCAUGUAGCAUAUGGCUAUGAGAAGUCGGAAGAAGGAAAAUGGGUUAAAACCUCAUCAUUGAAGCAGCUAGGAGAUUUAAAGUCUCAUUCAUUUUAUUUUUUUCAUUCUUAUUUAUUAUUCAUUUAUUUAUUUGUUUAUUUAUUUAUUUACUUAUUCAUUUAUUUGGGGCCUCGAAGUCAAAGUUGUACUUAAUAUAGGUGAAGUAAGACUCGAGCUAAAGGCUCGAAAACAUAGAAUUAGGACAGGUAAAAACGGGUCAAAAACCCAACUAGAUUAAGACAGGGUCGAUGGUUUGGGCUUAAAAGCCUAAAUCACUACCCCUCCCCUUUCCUCUUUCCCUUUUGCUUA